rnacentral:rRNA from 1 species
ACGCUGGCGGCGUGCUUAACACAUGCAAGUCGAACGAUGAAGGGGAGCUUGCUUCCUGGAUUAGUGGCGAACGGGUGAGUAACACGUGAGUAACCUGCCCUUGACUCUGGGAUAAGCGUUGGAAACGACGUCUAAUACCGGAUAUGACCUGUGACGGCAUCGUCUGCAGGUGGAAAGAAUUUUGGUCAAGGAUGGACUCGCGGCCUAUCAGGUAGUUGGUGAGGUAACGGCUCACCAAGCCGACGACGGGUAGCCGGCCUGAGAGGGUGACCGGCCACACUGGGACUGAGACACGGCCCAGACUCCUACGGGAGGCAGCAGUGGGGAAUAUUGCACAAUGGGCGAAAGCCUGAUGCAGCAACGCCGCGUGAGGGACGACGGCCUUCGGGUUGUAAACCUCUUUUUAGUUGGGAAGAAGGGAGCUUGCUCUUGACGGUACCAGCAGAAAAAGCACCGGCUAACUACGUGCCAGCAGCCGCGGUAAUACGUAGGGUGCAAGCGUUGUCCGGAAUUAUUGGGCGUAAAGAGCUCGUAGGCGGUUUGUCGCGUCUGCUGUGAAAUCUGGGGGCUCAACCCCCAGCCUGCAGUGGGUACGGGCAGACUAGAGUGCGGUAGGGGAGAUUGGAAUUCCUGGUGUAGCGGUGGAAUGCGCAGAUAUCAGGAGGAACACCGAUGGCGAAGGCAGAUCUCUGGGCCGUUACUGACGCUGAGGAGCGAAAGCAUGGGGAGCGAAC